rnacentral:rRNA from 1 species
AGAGUUUGAUCCUGGCUCAGGAUGAACGCUAGCGGCAGGCCUAAUACAUGCAAGUCGGACGGGAUUGAGGAGCUUGCUCUUCAUGAGAGUGGCGCACGGGUGCGUAACACGUAUGUAACCUACCUUUGUCAGGGGGAUAGCCUCUCGAAAGAGAGAUUAAGCCCGCAUAAAAUCACACCAUGGCAUCAUGGAAUGAUCAA